GUAGACUUCAGGAUGCCAUGCUGCUGUUUCUUCCCAAUUUAAGGCUGCUCUCGAAAUUCAUCUUAAUCUGGUUCUACUGUUACAAAGGUGGAAGACACUCCCUGCGGCCACUGGGCCCCUCUCUGACAGAUGGCAGGCAGACCACGGUCCUCCUUCCACAAAGCCCACGAACGGAGAUGCAGAACUGGGUGUAGGAACAGAGGAGAGUCCGAAGGUCGCCUCCCAGCUCUGCCCACAGUCUGGUCAGUACCCUGGUUGGAAGUGACUGAGAUCCAGCGCAGACUAGCUUAACUGUAAAAGAGAAUGGAUCUCGAUGUAGCUGGGAAGGCUGGGGACGGAGCUGGCCUGGCUAUUUUGAGAAACGAGGGCAUCGAGGGCCUCUUUCUCCCUUUCUCUUUUUUCCAUGUGGUCUCAUUCCCUCUUGAGGCCGAAGUAGAAGGUUUCCUUUCCUGCUGGUGCUGGCGGUGGGACUGAGGCUGCAGACAGAGGCUGGCUUACUUCACCUCCGAAAGAAAGAAAGAGCGAACACAUACUUUCUCAAUGGCCACUUAUGCAACCCCAGGGAAG